rnacentral:tRNA from 1 species
GCUGGUCCUUGGCCGAUAGUUGCGGCGUCAGGCCUUCGAGCGGCCAGUCAAUGGCCAAUUGUUGAUCGUCCCAGCGGAUGCAGCG